rnacentral:rRNA from 1 species
ACGAACGCUGGCGGCGUGCUUAACACAUGCAAGUCGAACGGAGCACCCUUGAUUGAGGUUUCGGCCAAAUGAUAGGAAUGCUUAGUGGCGGACUGGUGAGUAACGCGUGAGGAACCUGCCUUUCAGAGGGGGACAACAGUUGGAAACGACUGCUAAUACCGCAUGACGCAUUUUGAUCGCAUGGUCGAAAUGCCAAAGAUUUAUCGCUGAAAGAUGGCCUCGCGUCUGAUUAGCUAGUUGGUGAGGUAACGGCCCACCAAGGCGACGAUCAGUAGCCGGACUGAGAGGUUGACCGGCCACAUUGGGACUGAGACACGGCCCAGACUCCUACGGGAGGCAGCAGUGGGGAAUAUUGCACAAUGGAGGAAACUCUGAUGCAGCGACGCCGCGUGAGCGAAGAAGUAUUUCGGUAUGUAAAGCUCUGUCAGCAGGGAAGAUAAUGACGGUACCUGACCAAGAAGCCCCGGCUAACUACGUG